rnacentral:rRNA from 1 species
UACAGAGGGUGCGAGCGUUGUUCGGAAUUAUUGGGCGUAAAGGGCGCGUAGGCGGCGCCACAAGUCACUUGUGAAAACUCUGGGCUCAACCCAGAGCCUGCAGGCGAAACUGUGGUGCUGGAGUAUGGGAGAGGUGCGUGGAAUUCCCGGUGUAGCGGUGAGAUGCAUUGAGAUCGGAAAGAACACCAACGGCGAAAGCACUCUGCUGGGCCGACACUGACACUGAGAGACGAAAGCUAGGGGAGCAAAUGGG